GACGAACGCUGGCGGCGUGCUUAACACAUGCAAGUCGAACGGAAAGGCCCUGCUUUUGUGGGGUUCUCGAGUGGCGAACGGGUGAGUAACACGUGAGUAACCUGCCCUUGACUUUGGGAUAACUUCAGGAAACUGGGGCUAAUACCGGAUAGGAGCUCCUGCUGCAUGGUGGGGGUUGGAAAGUUUCGUCGGUUGGGGAUGGACUCGCGGCUUAUCAGCUUGUUGGUGGGGUAGUGGCUUACCAAGGCUUUGACGGGUAGCCGGCCUGAGAGGGUGACCGGCGACAUUGGGCCUGAGAUACGACCCAGACUCGUGGUGGAGGCAGAAGGGCAGAAUAUUUUACAAUGGGCGGAAGCCUGAUGCAGGAACGCCGCGUGCGGGAUGAAGGUCUUUGGGUUGUAAACCGUUUUGGGUUGUGACGAAGCGUGAGUGACGGAAAUGGGUAAAGAAGCACCGGCUAACUACGUG
rnacentral:rRNA from 1 species